CUCAGGGUGGCUCUCCUGGGUUCUCCUGUGGACUCCUCUGUGACUUGCUCUCAUAACCUAUAUUUUAUAUACCUUCUGCCUUCAUUCCUUGUGUUUAUAAUUCAGUCUUUUUUUUUUUUUUUUCCUUUUAUUUUCAUUCUACUUUAUUUUAGUUCUUCAGUGCCCAGUGGUUAUGUAGCCAGCCCAUACUGCAUGAUUUUUCUUGGCUGAUGAUGCAACCUCUUCUUACCACCUGUAUUCAAACCAGGCUCAGCACUUGGCAGGGCACAGCUGCUCCUCUUCACUCAGGAAGAUCAUUUCUUUAAUCAUUUCUGGUGAACAGAGCCCCAACAGCUCUUCCAGAGGAGCACAGCUCUCCAAGAAUCAGGCUGAUGAUUACUUUCUGACCUUCUCUGGCCCAUGCUCUUCUUGUUCAAGGUGCAGGCUAGAGAAGUUACUUCUCAGCAGCAGGAGGUCUUGCUGGAUGUGCUGUCCUGCAGCGUGCUCGCCUUGGCCCAGGUGCCCUGCAGCUGUGCCCUGGGGGAGAGGAGCUGGGGCUGUGGCAGCAGCAGUGUGACCCAUGGGACGAGCAACAAUCCUCUGUGAGCUCCCAUGACUUGAUGUGCACGGCUGCUUGAAGAGGAGUUGGCAUCCUAUGUGCCAAAAAGUUCAUCUGUUCUCUCUCUGUGUAGUAAUUGCAGUAAAAAUGGCCUUCUGUUUAAUGGCUGCAAAACUUGAUUAUUGCAGAAAACGGUCUUUUAGUGAAGGUGGACUAAAACACAGCUUUAGCUCCACUAAAAUGAGAGAUUUCCCGCAUCCCCAGCAUCCCAUCAAAUGGUCUCAUUCAUAUUUCAUUGUGCUGAUGACUAUAUUUGCUAAGAAAUCUCUUUGUUUAAUGAUCAAUCAGGGAAUUUAAUUCAUUAAUCUAAAAGCACUCUGCAGCAUAAUCAAGCCUCAUCUACAGUUUACAAAUAGAGUUCUAAAAAAGAAGAAGAUUCAGUGGCUUGACUGCAUAAAUCUGUCACCCAGUGAGAAACAGAACCCAGAUUUCUUGAGUCUCAUCUCUCUGCUCGCUUCGUGAACCACGGCCACCUCAUCACUGCUUCAGAAUGAUAAAUGCCUCCCAUUUAUGAGCACAUAUACAUGUUCUGGUAAUACAGUAAACAAUGAAGCCUUUCACUAUUAAGUGAAAGUAUUCACAAGAGGCCAAGCCUGUGGUCCUUACGUAGACAAAGCUCUUGUGGGCUUGAGUCAGAAUUUUGCUUUGAGUGAUUACUCGAUCGAGUUCAUAAUGUGUAUUUAAACCUUCUCAGGGGAGGAAGACAUCUAGCUUGAAACAAAUCAGAAGUGAGAUUUUUGUUCUGUGGAAUGAAAGAGACUAAAUGCAGUAUCAGCGUGGAUGAGGUCAUAUGAGAAAACGCCCUUACAGCAGAAGUGAGCUGGCUUUGCUGUUGCUAAAAUUGCUUUCCUUGGGAUCAGUUAGCACAUUUGCCUGUUAUAGUUAAUCUGCCUGGUGACUUAUAGCAGAGGCAUUGCUUUAGCUGCUCAGUGUAUUAUGUAUGUAUGUAAUGACUGCUAUUCCUAAGUGAUAUUCUACAAAAUAA